UGUAACUUUUUCAACGGUUG
rnacentral:siRNA from 1 species